UACGUAGGGUUCAAGCGUUAUCCGGAUUUACUGGGUGUAAAGGGCGAGUAGACGGUAAUUCAAGUCAGAUGUGAAACCUUGGGGCUCAACCCCAAGCCUGCAUCUGAAACUGGAUAACUAGAGUGCAGGAGAGGAAAGUGGAAUUUCUAGUGUAGCGGUAAAAUGCAUAGAUAUUAGGAGGAACACCAGUGGCGAAGGCGACUUUCUGGACUGUAACUGACGUUGAGGCGCGAAAGUGUGGGGAGCAAAC
rnacentral:rRNA from 1 species